CUCCGGCAGGUGGCGCUGCUGGGAUUCUCUAUGAUAGCUGAGGCGGUGGGACGCUCUAGCCCCGCGUUUCUCGUUUUCUUCCUGCAGAGCUCAGUGGCAGGCUCGCUUCCGGUGACCUUCCUGAGCGGCGAGUGAUCGCACGGUGUGAGGUGGGUGACGUGCCCGGUGUGAGGUGCCUUCCAUUACCGGCCCUGGGUAGCAAGUGGUGCUGGGUGGAGGACAUACAGCUCGUUACCUGGGCCUUAACUCCUUAUUGCCUCUAACCCAUAACCCACAGGCUCCUCCAAUUAUAUAUGUGAUUAUUGUGUUUAUCUCAUUAUAUUAUUAUUAUUAUUAUAUUGUUUAUUAAUAUUAUAUUUAUUGUUUAUUAUUAUUAUACUGUUUAUUAUAUCUGCUCUUACUGUGGGCAUUGUUACAGGUCUCUAUAGGUCAAUAGCAUUUCAUUUCCUUACCCUUCAGGUUUGCCUUUCAGUUGACAAAAGAGUUACAAACUGUGGGUUAAAAUAACCAAAAUUUGGGGAAGAAAUCCCCUUCCUUCCCCGAAUGUUGGUUAUUUUAACCCACAGUUUGUAACUCCUCUGUCAAUUGAAAGGCAGACCUGAAGGGUAAGGAAAUGAAAUGCUAUUGACCUAUAGAGACCUGUAACAAUGCCCACAGUAAGAGCAGAUAUAAUAAACAGUAUAAUAAUAAUAUAAUGAGAUAAACACAAUAAUCACAUAGAUAUUAGAGGAGCCUGUGGGUUAUGGGUUAAAAAAAAAAAACACAAAAAACCCACAGUUGAAUGUGAUGUUUUCUAUUUACUGUACCUUGUGCAGUUUUGAUUCUCUUUAAAAUCAAAACUUUUGGGGGUUUAUUCCUGGGGCUGUGAAUUAAUAGUAAAUUCACACCAUUUACUAAUCAUACUAGUAAAUUGGAAAUUAAUUAGUGGAAUUUUAAGAUACAAUAGCUGAAUGAAAAAAGUUGAAUUCCAAAUUUUAAAAAAAUGACUAAAAUAAUGUCCAUCCUCUUGCAUUCAAUAUUUUUUAUUUUCCGAAGCGUUUUUUUUUUUUUUUAAUUAUUAUUAUUAUGGAGUUUGCCCAUAGACUUGCAGUAUCAUAAUCACUACAAUGUUCUGUUUUGUGUUGAAAGUGCUACUUUGAACAAAUGCUGGGUAUCUUUGAUGUCCUGAAGUAAUAUGACUGUUUAUGAAGGGAACACUCCAAGCGCCAUCAUCACUACAGUACGGUUUAGUUGUUAUGGUUCCAGGAGUGCCCUGGUGACCCUUUCCAGAGUAAUUAGUCAAGCCAUUUGCUAGUGGUUUGACUGCACUGUAGUGGUUAUGGUGCUUUGAGUGUUCCUUUAAAGAGCUGUGCAUUAAAACCCAGUUGUCAUAGAAAUACAGAAUAUUUGUUUUCAAAGAAUCUCUUUUCCUCUAUUUUAUGCAAAUUUGUGACUGAUAGUUGUUUUUUCACUUCUCCAGAAAUGGCAGGCAAGGCUUUUUCAGCAUGGUGGACCUUGAUGAGGCCGUAUUACACUAAAGCUUACCAAGAGAUGUGGGUUGGUGUUGGCAUCAUGACAGUCCUCUAUUAUAAGCUGUCAUAUGGAGGUAAGCAUGCUCUUAUUAAUACAAUUUAUCAGUUUUUAGUUGUUUUAAUAUUGCCAUUUAAUUUUGUUUGUGCAAAAUCCUGAUUCUUCUACGGAUUCAUUUAUUUUACAGAAUGUGUGCAGUGUAUUCGUUUCUAAAGUCGUGUUGCUCUGAACACCUUUCCUUGUGGCAAAGUGUUUGCUAAUACUUGCCAAUAACAAAGGGUUAUUAGUACUCUUGGGGUUACACUACAUAACUAUUCUUCUGAGUAUUUUGAAAUGUUGCUAGAGAUAGGUUGGGAAGGAGACAUCUUCUUGUGCGUUGCGCACAUUAUUCAAUGUGGCUCUUGCAAGGUCUUCUAUGGACCUAUGUAGUUAAACUCUUGAAUUAGGAUAUAGCGCGUUUGCAGGCUCCUGAAGGAUGAAACACCAGGAACAGAGGAUUGUGGCGCCUUUUCUCUUGCCACCGUACACCAAGCAAUCAUGUCACCUUCAGUGGGUCUAAGCAAAAAUUGCAAAUACCCUAGUGUAAAUGGACUCUUAUAGAUAGCACAGCAACGAUCCAUUUUAAAGGGAAACUCGAGGCGCUAUAACUUAUUUUAGUGGUUUUGGGGGGGAAAUAUUCAGCUUAUCAUUUUACCCCUUAGAAAGAAAUAAUUAUCCUUCCUUUUUAUAUGAAUGAGUGUACUGAACGCCUCCGUUAGCUAGGCAACAGGUUGCGAUCACUACCUCUGGUAAGCUAACAAAGCCAAAAAUAGUAAGGUCCCACAAGGGGACACAAAAAUAGAGCAAAAGAAUGUCUCUGAUUCGAUUUAUAAAUAUCAUAUAUUUGAUAAUCCUAAUUUACAUUGGAAGGCAUCUUUAACAAAUUGCAUCAAAUUAGUAUCCCCCUCCCCCCAAUACCUUCCAACAUUAGUUUAAAAGAACUCUAUAGCGUUAAAAAUACAAAACUGUAUUCCUAACACUAUAGUGUCCCUUCGGCUCUGCGGUUCCCCUGACUCUGUGAUUAAAAGGUGAAAAAACUUCCAGCGCAGAGGUCAGACUCCUCCUGCGAUGUCACGCCAAUAGGGGAACCAAGUGAGCAAGCAAGGCAAGCACCAUGCAUGCAGUAGACCCUCCCUAUAGUAAAACAUUAAAUCAGUGCUUUCCUAUGGGGGUUUGAAGACGUUGGAUGUCCUCAGGCAAACUGUAAGGACGUCCAAUGUCAUUUCACUGAGUAAAGCACCUCUUGUGGCUGUCUGGAAGAGGACAAGGACACUGCACCCAGACCACUUGAAUGAGCUGAAGUGGUCUGGGUUCCUAUAGUGUCCCUUUUAACUUAAAAAUAAAAUAAAGGAUUAUGCUUUAUGCACAUUUAUUUAUUUUUUAGCUGUCCAAAUUUUGAUAAUUUAUAGGUUUGAAGCACAAGGCUAAUCAGCCCCUUUACCAGGGAGAUGGUGAAGAUGAUGGAUUUUAUAAAUGUCUGCUAGUCUUUGCUUUUACUAGCUGUUUGAGUUGAACAACAAAUUUUUUUUAAUUAUAAUACUUGUAAAUCAGUAAUGUGACAUGUUAAGCAAAAUGUAUUUUUUUUAUUUAUUUAUAUAUUUCAGGAUAGGAAAUAUGUCUAACAUGUAUUUUCUUUUCUUCUCAGGCAAAAAAGCUGUGAAAGACAGUAAGUACUGCAUCCCAAAAGCAACUUCUGUAUUAACAAAAUCUAGUUACAGAUACCAUUAUAGAGCUACUGAAUGCUAAAAAUGACCUAAAUUUCAAUAUUCUGUUAAAUAACUAUAUCCUUGUUUUUUUUUUUUUUUUUUAGAAAGAUAUUUAUUUUUGAGUGGCUUAAUGUUUUGUCCUUCAGCUUGACUCUGUUGCGGUUACCUUUUAAACCUUUUUCUUUUAAAUUUUGGUUUGUGGUGGUUAUACUAGAAAUGCACUGUUUUCUAUCUGUUACAUCGAUUUCCAAUAAAGCUGUACAAUUGAUCCUUGUAAACCUGCAUUCACACAGUACUACAUUCUUUGCCUUGCUCAGAGUACUACUGUGCUUUCAGCUUGGCAGGUAACAGUGCUGUUUGUAUGCUGACAGUACAGUACAGUACAGUGCAGUUUAGGGACAGAGUGAACAGAUACAGCUCUAGUGGUUACAUUGCUUUAAUACUCCUUAAUUAGAAAGUAUACUUGUCAUGUGUACCCCUUUUCCACCCCCCCAUAGUGCAUUUUAUAGAUAAGGCAUUAAAAAUGCAAUACAAUGAAAAUAAAUAAAUAAAAGAAAAAUGUUCUAAUCAACAGCAAGUCGCUGUAGAAACUAGGAUUAAGUGGAACUGAUAGAUGAGCAGUUAUGCUGAUUGGUUAUAUCUCAAGCAAUAGGGAAAAUCAACCACUGCUCAGGGAUGGUGGUGAGCUACACAGCUUGGAAUGAGCGCGCCCAUGGUAUUAUGUAUAUCUUCGCCAAUAUCUAAAAAUGAGCAAGCUUACAGGUUUAGGGGUUUGCGUGUAAAAUCAUGGAUGAAUAGUGACAAAGAUGACCGGUUACAAUAUUUCCUUGGUUGCAUUUCAUAUAAACUAUUUUAACAAGAGCUCAGAAGUGCAGAAUCUCAACAACUGAAAAUGUUUUUUGUUUUUUGUUUGUUUUCAGAAUCUUCCGGCCAUGGUCACUAGAUGAUCCAUUAAUUCUCUGAAACAACUCGAAGUACCUACAGCAAGCUGAAAUUGGACGACAAUGGGAAAACAAACAUUUUAUUUAAUAAAGACAUAUUUCACCGUGGAUUUUUAGAACUUCAGUGUUUUACUUAACUCUUAUUUUAUACCUGCUCGUAAGCAAAUUGUUUUUAAAUGUAGUUUUCUGCUUUAUUUUAGAGGGUUACUCUAAUCAUCAUAAACACUAGAGCCCACUAUAGUAUUUAUGAUGCCAAAAUUCCCAUUAGCAAUGAUUUGCCCCCUUAUGAGUCCACACUUUGUGUGCAAUGAAGGUUGGAUGAUGACACCCCAGUGACACUGACAGAGGUGGAGUUACUGCUCUGGCAGCAGAGAGGCUAAAUUCAGUAUGUGCCGCAUUUCACAGUAAAAUUCUGCACAUACAGAUUUCAGGCACCAUGACCUUUUCAAAUCGUUGAAGUGGUCAUGGUGCUUGGAGAAGCCCUUUAACUUUGGAUGUGCUGUAAUGUAGUUCCACACGCUCUGUGAAAAGUGUUUCUGUUGCUGGUAGUGUGUACCUAUUUAUUUAUUUAAAAAUUUGCUUUAGGGGACUCAAAUGUGUUGCUUUCAAUAUAUAAAAGAGGUGUAAAAGUGUGUACCUUUCCUUUGUGGCAAAUUCUUCUGCCAGUCAUCUUGGAGGAUUUUCUAAUACUAGUAAACCACUUCCACCUUCUCCCUUUAGUUUACAAAUAAAAAAAUCUUCAAAUUGCAAAUGGGACAUUUCCUACUAAUAUUACACAUUAUAUUAAUUUGUAAGUUUAAUGAAUGGUAAAAUGAAUGGGGUUGGGGGAAAUACAAAAUCCAAAUUGGAAAUAAAUGGUUAAAAGACGGAUUAUUGUGUAUAUAUGUAAAGGGGGUUGCAACAGUUUUAUAAUUAAAAAAAAUAAAAUAAAAUAAUAAUAAUUAAUAAUAAAAAUGUUGCACAUGCAGUAGAACAUGCUAGAACACCCCUCCCGUCCCCAGUUUUCUUUUUCAAACUUGGUUAUUGGCGUGUUCAACCAGUAGGUGUCAGUGUGUCAACAUCCAGCCUGUUAACCAAAUUUCUGAAGUUAAGAAUAUUGAAAGGUAAAAGAUGAACAUCUGAACUUCUUUUCGGGGUUGGGGAUGAUGUUACACAGCUUAAAAGAGACUUGCGUCCAUCAAGUUCAGCCUUCCUCACAUAUGUUUUUGCUAUCGAUCCAAAAGAAGGCAAAAAACAGACGGAAGCUCUUCCAAUUUUGCAACAAACUAGGAAAAAUAUUCCUUCUUGACCCCAAAAUAGCAGUCAGAUGUCUCCUUGGAUCAAGCAGCUAUUACCCCAAUAAUUAGAAAUGAUAUCCCUGUAUGUUAUGUUUUUGCAAGUAUUUAUCCAAUUGCAGUUUAAACAUCUGUAUGGACUCUGAUAAAACCACCUCUUCAGACAGAGAAUUCUGUAUCCUUAUUGCUCUUACUGUAAAAAAAAACCUUUUCUUUGCCUUAAGAUGAAAUCUCCUUUCUUCCAGCCUAAAUGUGUGACACUGUGUUCUAUGAAGAGCCCUGUUUAUGAAUAGAUUUUCAGAUAAUGGUUUGUAUUGGCCCUGAAUAUUUUUGUAUAAUGUUAUCAUAUCCCCUCCUUACGCCAAUGUUCUACCCAAGAACAAGAAUAUUCAUCUAGAUCAGCGUUUCCCAAUUGGUGUUCCGCCAAAAAAUUUGAAAAUAAAAUGCCGAGGGAGCAGUGAUCUUCCUGCUCAGCGCCCUUGCACACACAGCACUGAUGCCGGAGCCAGAAUAUGACGUCACUCCAGCAUAGCUAAGAGGCACGUGAGGGAGCUGAGCAGGGAGAUCAGAGCUCCCUCACCGCCCGCCUCCACCGCUCACCUGUCUGCCAGACCUCCUGACCGCCAGCCAAGCUGCAGCCAUCCCCACUGAACCAUAGGGACUCCAUGCCACAACUCCUAAAGGUAGGGGGCUGGGGAUGGAGUAAAAUGUUAAAAAGAAAAUUGUGUGUGUGUUUGUCAAUGAGAGUGUAUAUGUGUUUGUAGGUGUCUGUCAAAGAGUGUUUAUCAGUGAGAGUG
rnacentral:lncRNA from 1 species